rnacentral:rRNA from 1 species
AUUGAACGCUGGCGGCAAGCCUAACACAUGCAAGUAGAACGAGUGGCGGACGGGUGAGUAAUGUCUGGGAAACUGCCUGAUGGAGGGGGAUAACUACUGGAAACGGUAGCUAAUACCGCAUACCAUCGGAUGUUCCCUGGUGGGAUUAGCUAGUAGGUGGGGGAAAGGCUCACCUAGGUGACGCUCCCUAGCUGGUCUGAGAGGAUGACCAGCCACCCGGGAACUGGGACACGGUCCAGACUCCUACGGGAGGCAGCAGUGGGGAAUAUUGCACAAUGGGCGCAAGCCUGAUGCAGCCAUGCCGCGUGGAUGAAGAAGGCCUUCGGGUUGUAAAGUACUUUCAGCAGGGAGGCGUUACCCGCACAAGAAGCACCGGCUAACUCCGUGCCAGCCGCCGCGGUAAUAC